AUUGAUGUGGCUUGAACCUUUAAUACAUAUGAAUUCUUCAACACUGGUUUCUUUAAUCUUCUAGCUCUCAUCUCCCUCUCUCACUAUUUUCGUUGAACGGCUUUGAAGUUUCUUAUUCCAAAUUACAUGAAACAUUGAUUAACCUCAUGGAUUUAUUUAAGUGCUUUUUUGUUAUUAGAUAUUUUAGAGAGACUCAUAUAGGCAGAAGGGCAGAAAUUCUGUAAUUAAUCAGCGUUGCUUGGUUCUGUUGUUACAGUGUCAGUGAAUUGGUUCCCAGUAGGAGAUUUAAUAGAAAAACAUUCAAUUUCAAAAUGGCCUGGAUGCAUCAAAGGGAUUAAGCUGUAAUGCUUUUAAUCCUUGUAACUCAAACAAAGAGAAAUUUUUCCCAAGCAAUAAACUGCAUAAUGUGUUUGUGGGCCAGCAGAUGAUAAUUAUGGAACAUCAGCUAAAUGGCCAACUCUAUAGCUGAACCAUUUGGCAUAGGGUGGCCAGAGAGACAGCCCUGGGGAUUAACAGCUUUUAAGCUCUAGGGUUUGAGUAAAACUAUUUUGGGUGCCAUUUUGCCAUUUUAGCAUCAGACAUGCUACCGACAAAUCUUUAGGUUAAAACUCAAAAUGGCAAUCAUGUGGCAUGUAAGCCACAGCUUCCCUAUCCCAGGGCCCCUGGAACACAUUACUCUUCCAACUUAGCACUUCUAGUAAUGAAGAAUGCAUCUAAAUUUGGUCUAUUUGCUAUCCCUGAUCUAGGUCUUUUUAUUUAAUUUUAUAUUGAUUAUUUAAUUG
rnacentral:lncRNA from 1 species